ACCAAAGUACCACUGGCUGCCACCAUUACCAUCAUUGUCUGCCACCACCACCCACUAUGACUGUAUUAACAACCUCCUACUGAUAAUUCUCGUGGUAUCGAUUAUCAUUCUUUCCAAUCCAGUGCAGGGUUACUUCCAAACCCACCAAAUUCUUGCACCACUACCCCCCUACCAAAAGGGAUUCUUCUACUUUGAUUUCGCCCAAAAUCCCGUUAACUUCUCUUAAUGAAGAUCGCAAAAGCUUGAAAAAGAACUAAAAAAAUUAGUAUGAUUCCAAUCCCAAUUACGAUUAAAUUCGAUGGCAAAGGGGGGUUAUGAGGAUGAUUUCCAUUUCUCUGAACGUUGGGUUGGACUGGCUUAUUUUUGCUCACCUCCCUUAAAUUCUUUGCCCAUGCCAAAAUUCUCACUCCGGCAAAAAGGACAACUUGGGGUGGUGUAAGGGUGAGUGGAGAAGAUGAUUCAUGGAAAAGCUUCUCGUAUAGAAGCUGGUUCACAAAACAGCUACAGAAAUUUAAAUUGAUAAAAAAUGUAUUGACGUGUUGGGUGUCCAGCAGAAAAAUUGAAAGGGGAUGUAACACACCACUCCACCCGCCAUUGAGAUCCCCCCACCCCCAAGAUAAGAUAUUUCUCGUCUCUCCCCGAAGCUAAAGUUGUUAGAUUGAUUGCCAGCUAGGGCGAAACACCAGCUCAUCUUUACACACUCACCCACAACAUCGACAACAGUCGCUCCCCCAUAUUGGAAUCCUCGCACGUCGAGUGCAAAGAUGGUAAUGUCCAACUCCCGUGACGAUAAAAACCAGUCUUCACCAACUCCGGAAAACCCAAGAGGUUCUAUGGAAGACGUAGGUGCCGGAGGCUGGUAUGAUGUUUAAUGAAGAAAUCGACAGGUUUAUUGCGAUUUGUGCACUCGAUAAUAUUACCUAGGUAAAGAUGUUAGGUUAUUUGUUGUUUUAACGGAUUGACGACAGUCGGAGACGCAGAAGAAAGCACCAGCGACAUAUACAGAAAUUAAUGGUUUCAGUUCGGUGGGUGAAUUAUUUGGGGAAAGUAGCGUAAGAAAGUGGGAGUCAAUCAUAGUGGGGGGUUUUUGUUUGUUUCAACGGUGACAUGAUAUUUUAUUUAUUU